rnacentral:lncRNA from 1 species
GCCCAGACUCUUAGAGUGCAGAGUCCUUUGGCCUCAACACUGCUGUGUUUGAGAGACGAGGGCACUUCGGAUCCCCCUACUUCUUGGCCAUGUUGGAUUCCAACUUUCUCAAAUCUCUUUGAAGGAAGGUAUUUCUAGUUAUGGAGCCAUGAAGAGAUUGGGCAUUGGAGACCAACCAAAGGCAGAUAACAAAUUGAAGAGCCUUUAUUCUUGGAAAGCUGCUAGAACUUCAGGUUUUCUUCUUGGAGAAUUGAGUAGAGCUUCCCUCCUCUCUGUAGAAAGAUGAGGCAAGGAGGAGUUUGACAAAGACUCUGUCCUUGACCAGACUUCAGACAAGCUCCUGAACCUUCUCCUAGACCCAUGUAUGUCCCUCCUUGUAAAAUCCGGUUUUAGAAGA